rnacentral:sRNA from 18 species
GCACUGGCAGGGAGUUAUACCGCUGUGGCCCCUUGCUGGAUCUUAAAGGAGAGCGAUGUCAUAGAUCCAGACAGUGC